AACGAACGCUGGCGGCAUGCCUAACACAUGCAAGUCGAACGAGACCUUCGGGUCUAGUGGCGCAGGGCUGCGUACCGCGUGGGAACCUGCCCUUAGGUUCGGAAUAACCCCCCGAAAGGGGUGCUAAUACCGGAUAAUGUCUUCGGACCAAAGAUUUAUCGCCUUUGGAUGGGCCCGCGUUGGAUUAGCUAGUUGGUAGGGUAAAAGCCUACCAAGGCGACGAUCCAUAGCUGGUCUGAGAGGAUGAUCAGCCACACUGGGACUGAGACACGGCCCAGACUCGUACGGGAGGGAGCAGAAGGGAAUAUUGGACGAGGGGCGAAAGCCUGAUCCAGCAAUGCCGGGGGAGUGAGGAAGGCCUUAGGGUUGUAAAGCUCUUUUACCCGGGAUGAUAAUGACAGUACCGGGAGAAUAAGCUCCGGCUAACUCCGUG
rnacentral:rRNA from 1 species